rnacentral:rRNA from 1 species
CCCAGACUCCUACGGGAGGCAGCAGUGGGGAAUAUUGCACAAUGGGGGGAACCCUGAUGCAGCGACGCCGCGUGGGUGAAGGAGUACUUCGGUACGUAAAGCCCUAUCAGCAGGAAAGAAAAUGACGGUACCUGACUAAGAAGCCCCGGCUAACUACGUGCCAGCAGCCGCGGUAAUACGUAGGGGGCAAGCGUUAUCCGGAUUUACUGGGUGUAAAGGGAGCGUAGACGGCAGUGCAAGUCCGGAGUGAAAGCCCGGGGCUCAACCCUGGGACUGCUCUGGAAACUGUAAAGCUGGAGUGCGGGAGGGGCAGGCGGAAUUCCUGGUGUAGCGGUGAAAUGCGUAGAUAUCAGGAGGAACACCGGCGGCGAAGGCGGCCUGCUGGACCGUAACUGACGUUGAGGCUCGAAAGCGUGGGGAGCAAACAGGAUUAGAUACCCGCGUAA